ACUUAAAUAGCUUAAUGAAGAGCAUGGUAUUGAAGAUACCAAGGUAAUACCGUAUUUUUAAGUA
rnacentral:tRNA from 1 species